rnacentral:rRNA from 1 species
CACUCCUGCGGGAGGCAGCAGUGGGGAAUAUUGCACAAUGGGCGCAAGCCUGAUGCAGCCAUGCCGCGUGUAUGAAGAAGGCCUUCGGGUUGUAAAGUACUUUCAGCGGGGAGGAAGGCAAUACGGUUAAUAACCGUGUUGAUUGACGUUACCCGCAGAAGAAGCACCGGCUAACUCCGUGCCAGCAGCCGCGGUAAUACGGAGGGUGCAAGCGUUAAUCGGAAUUACUGGGCGUAAAGCGCACGCAGGCGGUCUGUCAAGUCGGAUGUGAAAUCCCCGGGCUCAACCUGGGAACUGCAUUCGAAACUGGCAGGCUUGAGUCUUGUAGAGGGGGGUAGAAUUCCAGGUGUAGCGGUGAAAUGCGUAGAGAUCUGGAGGAAUACCGGUGGCGAAGGCGGCCCCCUGGACAAAGACUGACGCUCAGGUGCGAAAGCGUGGGGAGCAAACAGGAUUAGAAACCCGAGUAGUCC